CCGCCCGCUGCCGCCUCCCUUCCCCUCCCACCUCCCGCUGCGCGGAGCCCGGCGGAGCCCGGCGGGGCAGGCAGAGGAGCCGGGCAGCUCCAGGUAUCCACAGUUAUGUGCUAAGUCAAAAUUUUUCUGGAAGUUCCAUCUCUGGAAGCUUCUGUUUCCAGAAAUGACAAUUGAACACCAGCUUCUCAGCAUUACCAUAGUGAUUGUAUCUAUGCUGUGGCAGAAUAGGAAGAGCUCCUGGAACUGACCAAGGUCUUGAGAGGGUUGAGACUCUCCAGGUUCAAUGUAAUCUCACUGGGCAUUAGCA
rnacentral:lncRNA from 1 species